rnacentral:rRNA from 1 species
UCCUGGCUCAGGAUGAACGCUAGCGGCAGGCUUAAUACAUGCAAGUCGUGGGGCAGCAUGAGUAGCAAUACUUGAUGGCGACCGGCAAACGGGUGAGGAACACGUACACAACCUUCCUUCAAGCGGGGAAUAGCCCAGAGAAAUUUGGAUUAAUACCCCAUAAUAUAUUUGAUAAGGCAUCUUAUUAAUAUUAAAAGCUUCGGCACUUGAUGAUGGGUGUGCGGCUGAUUAGAUAGUUGGCGGGGUAACGGCCCACCAAGUCUACGAUCAGUAGCUGAUGUGAGAGCAUGAUCAGCCACACGGGCACUGAGACACGGGCCCGACUCCUACGGGAGGCAGCAGUAAGGAAUAUUGGACAAUGGACGAAAGUCUGAUCCAGCCAUGCCCGCGUGAAGGAUUAAGGUCCUCUGGAUUGUAAACUUCUUUUAUAUGGGACGAAAAAGGGCAUUCUUGUUCACUUGACGGUACCAUAUGAAUAAGCACCGGCUAACUCCGUG